rnacentral:misc_RNA from 1 species
AAUACAUAAAAAUAGUUCUUCAGACGUUGAGGGAGCAUCAGUUAUAUGCCAAAUUCUCCAAGUGUAAGUUCUGGCUAAGGAGUAUAUCCUUAUUGGGGCAUAUAGUGACAGAGAAUGGAAUCAAAACGGAUCAAAGUGGAAACAGUAGCGGAUUGGCCAAGGCCUAGACAUCAAGAGUUUUCUACGUUUGGCUAACUAUUAUAAGAGAUUUGUUCUUGAUUUCUCCAAGAUAGCUGCUCCA